rnacentral:rRNA from 1 species
AUUGAACGCUGGCGGCAGGCCUAACACAUGCAAGUCGAGCGGAUGAGAAGAGCUUGCUCUUCGAUUCAGCGGCGGACGGGUGAGUAAUGCCUAGGAAUCUGCCUAGUAGUGGGGGACAACGUUUCGAAAGGAACGCUAAUACCGCAUACGUCCUACGGGAGAAAGUGGGGGAUCUUCGGACCUCACGCUAUUAGAUGAGCCUAGGUCGGAUUAGCUAGUUGGUAGGGUAAAGGCCUACCAAGGAGACGAUCCGUAACUGGUCUGAGAGGAUGAUCAGUCACACUGGAACUGAGAAACGGUCCAGACUCCUACGGGAGGCAGCAGUGGGGAAUAUUGGACAAUGGGCGAAAGCCUGAUCCAGCCAUGCCGCGUGUGUGAAGAAGGCCUUCGGGUCGUAAAGCACUUUAAGUUGGGAGGAAGGGCUCAUAGCGAAUACCUGUGAGUUUUGACGUUACCAACAGAAUAAGCACCGGCUAACUUCGUGCCAGCCGCCGCAGUAA